AACCGCCUACGGGACGCAGCAGUGGGGGAUAUUGCACAAUGGGGGAAACCCUGAUGCAGCGACGCCGCGUGUGGGAAGACGGUCCUCUGGAUUGUAAACCACUGUCCCCAGGGACGAAGAUGACGGUACCUGGGGAGGAAGCUCCGGCUAACUACGUGCCAGCAGCCGCGGUAAUACGUAGGGAGCGAGCGUUGUCCGGAAUUACUGGGUGUAAAGGGAGCGUAGGCGGGGAUGCAAGGUGGGGGUCAAAACUACCGGCUCAACUGGUAGUCGCACUCAAAACUGCAGCUCUUGAGGGAAGGAGA
rnacentral:rRNA from 1 species